rnacentral:rRNA from 1 species
ACCCUUUAAUGUUUGAUGUUCUAACGUUGGCCCCUUACCGGGGUUGCGGACAGUGUCUGGUGGGUAGUUUGACUGGGGCGGUCUCCUCCCAAAGCGUAACGGAGGAGCACGAAGGUUAGCUAAUCCUGGUCGGACAUCAGGAGGUUAGUGCAAUGGCAUAAGCUAGCUUGACUGCGAGCGUGACGGCGCGAGCAGGUGCGAAAGCAGGUCAUAGUGAUCCGGUGGUUCUGAAUGGAAGGGCCAUCGCUCAACGGAUAAAAGGUACUCCGGGGAUAACAGGCUGAUACCGCCCAAGAGUUCAUAUCGACGGCGGUGUUUGGCACCUCGAUGUCGGCUCAUCACAUCCUGGGGCUGAAGUAGGUCCCAAGGGUAUGGCUGUUCGCCAUUUAAAGUGGUACGCGAGCUGGGUUUAGAACGUCGUGAGACAGUUCGGUCCCUAUCUGCCGUGGGCGCUGGAGAAUUGAGGGGGGCUGCUCCUAGUACGAGAGGACCGGAGUGGACGCAUCACUGGUGUUCGGGUUGUCAUGCCAAUGGCACUGCCCGGUAGCUAAAUGCGGAAGAGAUAAGUGCUGAAAGCAUCUAAGCACGAAACUUGCCCCGAGAUGAGUUCUCCCUGAGACUU